UUGGGUUUGGGAUAGCAGUAUUGUGCUGACGGUGAAUAUACCAUUGGAAUAUUCUAUUAUUUUGACAGCUGAUUCCGUCUAGCUAGCCAACUUUGUCUGUACGCAGGGACGAGGGAGUUGACCAAGGUAAACAAAUUCUUGGAACUUCGAUCCUGCCCGCUCCAUCGUGCAUUUCCGCACCAUGAGACAAGAGUCCCGUGCAUGCAACUUACGCCAUUAGCCACCAUGUAUCAGACCUGUAUUCAAGGGAGGGGCACAAGGGAUAAUUGCUUUUUCUUUUUCUUUUUCUUCUUUUUUUUUGUUUCUUUCGAAGAGGGGCUCUAUCUACAGCUGAAAUGUAUGCGAAUCAACCACCAAGGUGAAUAGGCUGAUUAUUCUUCCCUCAACGCUGCGAAGGAACAGAAACACUCAGACGAAAGUUUCAUUCAGCAGUUUGUUCAGAAGUAGCUUGGUCUCUCGCUCGACGAAGCAACUUCUGACGCAACCAAUCGAUACUAGCCUUGGAAGGUCGCGAUCAAAGUCAUGACCAGCCGCUCUUGGAACCCGAGGACGCUAAGAAGGGCCAUAUGGUUCUUUUUUACCUGAUUUUGCGUCCAGCGAUGCUGAUAGGUAUUUGUCCAACCCAGCUCUCAAAAUUCGGACAAAUAUCAGACGUAUGACCAGGUCCCCGUUUUCAAAUUUGAGGCGAUUGGUGGGAAGGGGACAUUAAAUUCACACCCAAAAAUCCAUGGAUUUUUUGGGUGAGCAGAGCUUUGCCCGAGUUAUUAGCCAGAGGGUUGCCUUGGGCAAGCAACCUUCACAUCCAUGAUACCCCGGAGGCACAGAUUUUUGACCUGCCAAUAAACCCAUGACUUCCCAAAACAAGCAUAGAACAACUCGAGUUCAAUACACCUUUUUUGCUUUCUCGAAUUUGUUGCGAUAAGCUGGAACACCGCAUCAUAAAGUUGGAAUUUGAUACGAGAACAAAAUCAGCUUAUAAAUUACCUGUAAAUAAUGGGAAAGCUACAUCUCUUUACUUAGAUACUUAGAUAGUAUUUCAGAAAUAAAUGACAUUCGAGCGGUUGGUUCGGAGUCAUUUCCUUCAUUUACCU
rnacentral:sRNA from 2 species